AGCCCAUUACUCAGGCGUGUCCCUGGUUGGGUCUGCUGAUGACCCUCAUGAUGAGAUGCCACUCAUGCUUAUGGCAGCAGUAGCAGGACACCACCCAGGGUGGCACACAGAGUCCACCUGUUCAUCCCAGUGAUGCCAAUGUGUCUACUUGGUCGAGGUCCUGUCUGCGGGGUUUUGUGCUGCAAAGCCACGUUCCCUUGUCAUUAGUAACUUGUCCAUGGAAACGGGACCACGUUCAUGCUGUUCCUCACUGCCCUCAUCCACUGCACACUGUGUCCACCAAGGUCAUUGGCUCUGUCCACUUGGGAUGUGAGUGAGGCCUCCCCAUGGCGGCAGGCCAGGACCAGGAGUCCCUGAGUAGCUGAAACUUGUAGGUGCUCCCUGGGCACAGGGCUUCAGGGGCCAAGGUUUGUCUGCCCCACUGGGCAAUUGUCCACCCCCUUAGCAGGACUUCGAGGACAUCCCAGUGGCCACUGGGCACCCAGGGCGCAGGGCAGACACCCCAAACCGCUCCCUUUGUCCCCCAAACCCCUCACUUGGACAGGGGCUCCACUUAGUGGCCUGGCAUGUCUCUGCCAGUGGGUGUGGGGCGUGGCAGGAGGGGGCUGUCAGGGUCUCCACCAGACACUGCUCAGGCCUCCGAAGUGAGUGCCCAGGUGGUGGCUCACCCAGAACUUCUGGGUGGAGGCCUCUUCCCACACUCCACUGUCCCUGGCUGCCCUGCUCCUGGCCUGAGGUCCCUCAGCAGCAGGGAUGGUGUCCUGCCCCCGGGGCCCAGGCCUGGCUUGGCCACGGUGGACCCCAGGAUAUCCUGCGUAAGUGCACGCAGCUGCAUGGGAGGCGCAGCCCCUCGGUCCACAAGGCCUGGAUGCCAGAGGAUAGCACCCAUCUGUCUGUCCCUCCCUUCACUGGGCCUGCUGCCCCAGACCCAUCUAGGUUCCCUGUGACGCUUUUCUGCUCAGAGGCUGGGAGGUCACAGGGCACAGCAGCUUUCCGAGGAUCUCACCCUAUGGAAAGAUUCCUGAACCCAAACCACAGGUCCCCACCAACAGGGCUGUGUCCACAGGCUGUGGUGGGCAGGUCCAGUGGGAAAAACCUGACUUCCUCAUCAGCCAGGGGAUGGCCCCUUCUUGUCCCAGGAGGUGGGAACCAGGCAGCAGAGGCCCACAGCUGGGUCUGGAGAGCAUUUUACUUUUUUUUCUUUUUUAAAAAGUUUAUUUUUGUGAAGACCAUAAGAACAUUUUUAAUUGUUUAUUUUUGAGCCACUUUUUUUUUUCUUUUUUUUCCUGAGACAGAGUCUUGCUCUGUAGCCCAGGCUGGAAUGCGGUGGCACAAUCUCGGCUCACUGCAACCUCCAUUUCCUGAGUUUAAGCAAUUCUGCCUCAGCCUUCCAAGCAGCUGGGAUUACAGGCACAUACCAACAUGCCCAGCUAAUUUUUGUAUUUUCAGUGGAGAGGGGAUUAUCACCAUGUUGGCCAGGCUGGUCUAGAACUCCUGACCUCAGGUGAUCCACCCACUUCAGCCUCCCAAAGUGCUGGGAUUACAGGCAUGAGCCACCGUGCCUGGCCUCAGAAAGGGUUUCUGAUUUACGUUUUCAGGAAAGGGAGAGACAGCUGCUCACCACUAUCCCCGCUUCCAGGCAGCCUCAGAAACCGAGGAGGAAACAUCACGCCUUUGGUGUUUCCCAUCCCUGGAGUGAGGGGCCUCAGGAACUUCACAGCCAGGGCUCGAGUCCGGGCACAGUGACCUCUGGGCAGAAGAGGCUCUCCCUGACCCGCCAGGUUGAUUCCGGGUCAGUUAAUGCCUGGGGAACUUGGUAAGACAUCAUCUCUACAAAAAACACAGAAGUUAGCGGGGCAUGGGGGCGCCUAUAGUCCCAGCUACUCGGGAGGCUGAGGCUGGAGGAUCGCUUCUGCCAGGGAGGUAGAGGCUGCAGUGAGCCGAGAUCGCGCCACUGCACUGCAGCCUGGACGACAGAGGGGGGCCCUGUUUCAAAAACGAAAAAACUGGCCGGGCGCGGUGGCUCACGCCUGUAAUCCCAGCACUUUGGGAGGCCGAGGCGGGCGGAUCAUGAGGUCAGGAGAUGGAGACCAUCCUGGCUAACAAGGUGAAACCCCAUCUCUACUAAAAAAUACAAAAAACUAGCCGGGCGCGGUUGCGGGCGCCUGUAGUCUCAGCUACUCGGGAGGCUGAGGCAGGAGAAUGGCGUGAACCCGGGAGGCGGAGCUUGCAGUGAGCGGAGAUCGCGCCACCGCACUCCAGCCUGGGCGACAGAGCGAGACUCCAUCCCAAAAAAAAAAAAGAAAAAA
ensembl:lncRNA